GCAGUCGAGCGAGCGGAACAACAGAUUUACUUCGGUAAUGACGUUGGGAAAGCGAGCGGCGGAUGGGUGAGUAACACGUGGGGAACCUGCCCCUAAGUCUGGGAUACCAUUUGGAAACAGGUGCUAAUACCGGAUAAUAAAGCAGAUCGCAUGAUCAGCUUUUGAAAGGCGGCGUAAGCUGUCGCUAAGGGAUGGCCCCGCGGUGCAUUAGCUAGUUGGUAAGGUAACGGCUUACCAAGGCGACGAUGCAUAGCCGAGUUGAGAGACUGAUCGGCCACAUUGGGACUGAGACACGGCCCAAACUCCUACGGGAGGCAGCAGUAGGGAAUCUUCCACAAUGGACGCAAGUCUGAUGGAGCAACGCCGCGUGAGUGAAGAAGGUUUUCGGAUCGUAAAGCUCUGUUGUUGGUGAAGAAGGAUAGAGGUAGUAACUGGCCUUUAUUUGACGGUAAUCAACCAGAAAGUCACGGCUAACUACGUGCCAGCAGCCGCGGUAAUACGUAGGUGGCAAGCGUUGUCCGGAUUUAUUGGGCGUAAAGCGAGCGCAGGCGGAAAAAUAAGUCUAAUGUGAAAGCCCUCGGCUUAACCGAGGAACUGCAUCGGAAACUGUUUUUCUUGAGUGCAGAAGAGGAGAGUGGAACUCCAUGUGUAGCGGUGGAAUGCGUAGAUAUAUGGAAGAACACCAGUGGCGAAGGCGGCUCU
rnacentral:rRNA from 1 species